UACGUAGGGUGCAAGCGUUAAUCGGAAUUACUGGGCGUAAAGCGUGCGCAGGCGGUUAUGCAAGACAAAGGUGAAAUCCCCGGGCUCAACCUAGGAACUCCCUUUGUGACUGCAUAGCUAGAGUACGGUAGAGGGGGAUGGAAUUCCGCGUGUAGCAGUGAAAUGCGUAGAUAUGCGGAGGAACACCGAUGGCGAAGGCAAUCCCCUGGACCUGUACUGACGCUCAUGCACGAAAGCGUGGGGAGCAAACAGG
rnacentral:rRNA from 1 species